AUGGGCGACGUCCGAAUCGUGUCACGGCGCAUGGUACGGCCGGAACCAACGGCCUCGCCGCCGGUGGAGACCAUCCACCUGACGCCGUGGGAUCUCAAGUCUAUCACCGUGGAGAACAUCCAGAAGGGCAUCCUCCUGCCCAAGCCUCCCACCACCGGAGGCAAGGGGCUCAACGACGUCGACGUGGAGUGUCUAGCUUCGUCCUUUCAGCGAGCCCUUGGCCACUUCUACCCUUAUGCCGGACGCCUCGCCGUGGCCGUCCCGCCGGCUAGCGACGGCGGAGCAUCGUCGCCUCAGAACCAGAGCCUCACCAUUUCGCUCCGCUGCGGCGGCGAGGGCGCCGAGUUCGUCCACGCCGUGGCUCCCGGCGUCACCGUCUCGGACAUCAGCGCCUCGCUCGUCGUUCCUCGGGUGGUCUGGUCCUUCUUCCCGCUCGACAUGCUGCUGGGUUCGGACGCCAUUGAGGGCUCGCGCCCGCUCCUGGUUGCGCAGGUCACCGAGCUCGCCGACGGCGUCUUCAUCGCCAUGUCAAUGAACCACGGCGUCGCCGACGGUACGACAUUCUGGCAAUUCUUCAAUACCUGGUCCGAGCUAAGUCGUGCCGCCGUCGCUGGCAACGAUGUUAUGAUCUCCUCGCCGUUGCCGGUGUUCGACAGGAGUUUCCUGGGCAGCUGCACCGUCCCCAUCCCUCUGCCCUUCGGCAACCUGGAGGAUGUCGUCGGCAUUCGACAUGUGUUCCCGCCCGUGCAGGAAUGCUUCCUCAAUUUCUCCGCGGCGAGCGUAAAGAAUCUCAAGGCGCAGGCGAACGCCGAGAUGUCCGGCUCCGGCUGCACCCUUGGCACAAUCUCCUCGCUGCAGGCGCUGCUCGCGCACCUGUGGCGUGCCGUGUGCCGAGCCCGGCGACUCGCAUCGCACCAGAAAACGACGUACACUGUCCUUGUGGGAUGCCGUGGCCGCGUCGUCGGCAUACCGGCAGCCUACGCGGGCAACGCGGUGGAGCACGCCACCGCCAAGUCCACCGCCGGCGACAUCCUGGACAGGGGCCUUGGCCGGGCGGCAUGGCUCCUGAACAGGGCCGUGGCGUCGUUCGACAUGGCAUACGCGAGCAACAAGCUCGCGUCCUGGCCUCGGGAGCCUAGCUUCACGCGCCUGCCCGCGCUCGUGGCUGCCGCUCCCACGGGGACGCUGACAGGGAGCUCGCCGCGGUUCGACGUGUAUGGGAACGACUUCGGGUGGGGCGCGCCGGUGACCGUUCGGAGCGGCGCCGGGAACAAGUUUGAUGGGAAGGCGACCGUGUACGAGGGUCGAGGUGGCGGAGGGAGCAUUGCGCUGGAGGUGUGCCUCGUUCCGGAGGCGCUCGCCAGGCUCGUCACCGACGAGGAGUUCAUGGGUGCAACCACCACUGAUUCAUACUGA
rnacentral:rRNA from 1 species